rnacentral:tRNA from 1 species
GUUAUCGUGGCAGAACCGGGUCAUUGCAAAAGACUUAAACUCUUUCGACAGGGGUUCAAAUCCCCUCCAUAACU